rnacentral:lncRNA from 1 species
UUGACGAUAAAAGAUUAUUAGGAGGUUAGCAAGAUUUCAUAAUCAGGAAGUAUGACCGACCUUUGAGAAUGGGCUCCCCUCUUUCAAUCUUCCUCUAUCUGAUACUUGGCAAGAUAUUCAUUCUGUCACCAAGGCAGCAGAAUUUAGUUCAGCUCCAAUCAAAGAAAGUAUUCGAUACAAAAUGGACAACAAGAAAGAUAUCUCUUUUUGGAAUGACCG